GACGAACGCUGGCGGCGUGCUUAACACAUGCAAGUCGAACGGAAAGGCCCUGCUUUUGUGGGGUGCUCGAGUGGCGAACGGAUGAGUAACACGUGAGUAACCUGCCCUUGACUUUGGGAUAACUUCAGGAAACUGGGGCUAAUACCGGAUAGGAGCUCCUGCUGCCUGGUGGUGGUUGGAAAGUUCCGGCGGUUGGGGAUGGACUCCCGGCUUAUCAGCUUGUUGGUGGGGUAGUGGCUUACCAAGGCUUUGACGGGUAGCCGGGCUGAGAGGGUGACCGGCCGCAUUGGGAAUGAGAUACGGCAGAGACUGGAACGGGCGGCAGCAGUGGGGAAUAUUGAAGUAUGGGAGGAAGCCUAAUGUAAGAACGGCGCGGGCGAGAUAACGGGCGCCGGGGUGUAUGCCGAUUUCGCCGGGGAAGAAGAGAGAGUGACGGGAAUGGGUAAAGAAGCAACGGCUAGCUACGUU
rnacentral:rRNA from 1 species